rnacentral:tRNA from 1 species
CCUGGUAGCUCAGACGGUAAAGCGUCUGCCUACAAUGCAGAAGACCCGGGUUCAAUCCCUGGGUCAGGA